AGAUGGCAGAAGAAACAGUUAAAAGAGUUACAGGGCUAAAUCCUUUAUUCCAAGCUAUGUCUGAGAUGUCCUCAAUGGCAAUGCCAUCCUUCUCUGGCAGUCCUUCGGACACAUCAACAGACACUGCUGUGCCUGUGCCAGAUGAUUCUCAACAUCAUUACUACCAACAACCGCCAAAUAAUCAUAUGCCAACCCAUGAUCCUAGAAUUCAAAAUGGUAUGGUUGAUGUUCCUACAAUAGGAACUGUACAGCAGAAUCCUGCAGCUGCAGCAGUUGGUGGGAAUAAGAUGGGUAGAACAGCUUCAAUGCAGCGCGUAGCCAGCUUGGAGCAUCUGCAGAAGCGCAUACGUGGAGAAGUGAGUUCCUGUGGAACCCAAGGUCGGGGAGAGCAAUAAACACUGUCAAAGCCCCCAGCUGCACUGAAUCAGAUUUUGCACAUGCAUGUUGAUAAAAUUAUACUGUUUUUAACCAUUUGUGGCAGGAAAAAUGCCCAUUCUUUGUAUGGCAACGCCUUCUUGGAUGAUACUAAUGGAUUGACAUCCCUUUGCUAUGCUAGUUCUGACUAUUCUCAGUCAUCA
rnacentral:misc_RNA from 1 species